rnacentral:rRNA from 1 species
UGCGAUGAAGGUCUUCGGAUCGUAAAGCACUGUCGCGAGGGAAGAAACCUGACGGUACCUCGAGAGGAAGCACCGGCUAACUCUGUGC